CUUCGACUAAGGUUCGACUCGAGCGCCAGCGAGAGAGCGUUGCCGCAGGCAACGACCCGAAGGGCGAAGCGCGCAGCGCUGAGUAAUCCUUCCCCCACCACCA
rnacentral:sRNA from 1 species